UCAACUAAAACAUACCCUAAUUAGGAUUCCUACUCCAAAAAAUAUUUAUAUCUAUAUUUAGUUUAUCUCAAAUAAAUUUAAAUACCUAUCCUAAUAUAUCUAGAAUUAUACUCAAAUUAAUAUUUAAAUCUUAAUUUAUCUCCAAUAGAUUUAAAUAUUAACUCUUAUCCAACUAGAAAAUCAAUUACAAAUCUAACCAAAUCCUAACAAAGCCAACCAGCAGACCGAGGAGGUUGACGACG
rnacentral:lncRNA from 1 species